rnacentral:rRNA from 1 species
UACGUAGGGGGCAAGCGUUGUCCGGAAUUAUUGGGCGUAAAGCGCGCGCAGGCGGUCAUGUAAGUCUGGUGUUUAAACCCGAGGCUCAACUUCGGGGCGCAUCGGAAACUGGAUGACUUGAGUGCAGAAGAGGAGAGUGGAAUUCCAUGUGUAGCGGUGAAACGCGUAGAGAUGUGGAGGAACACCAGUGGCGAAGGCGACUCUCUGGGCUGUAACUGACGCUGAGGCGCGAAAGCGUGGGGAGCAAACAGG